GUCCCUAUCGUCUAGAGGCCUAGGACAUCGCCCUUUCACGGCGGUAACCGGGGUUCGAAUCCCCGUAGGGAC
rnacentral:tRNA from 2 species